rnacentral:rRNA from 1 species
CCUACGGGAGGCAGCAGUAGGGAAUAUUGCACAAUGGGGCGAAAGCCUGAUGCAGCAACGCCGCGUGCGCGAUGAAGGCCUUCGGGUCGUAAAGCGCUUUUCGGGGAGAUGAGGAAGGACAGUAUCCCCGGAAUAAGGCUCGGCUAACUACGUGCCAGCAGCCGCGGUAAU